GAUGAACGCUAGCGGAAGGCUUAAUACAUGCAAGUCGAGCGGUAGUGGCUUCGCCAUUUGAGAGCGGCGCACGGGUGAGUAACGCGUACAUGACCUUGCCUGUCAGAAGGGAUAGCCCUGGGAAACUGGGAUUAAUACCCUAUGGUAUUGAUAUUAUGAAUGAUAUCAAUUAAAGUUGAGGCCGCGUGAACAGAUGGACUGUGCGUCUGAUUAGCUAGGUUGGUAGGGUAACCGGCCUACCAAGGCGACGAUCAGUAGGGGGCUGAGAGCGUGGGUCCCCCACACGGGUACUGAGACACGGACCCGGACUCCUACGGGAGGCAGCAGUUAAGGAAGUAUUGGUCA
rnacentral:rRNA from 1 species